ensembl:lncRNA
UUAGAAGGGUCUGGGGAUUUGUUUAAAAGGAGCAACCAAAAGCCUGCCAGAUACAGCAAAAGGGAUAUUAUGCUAGGGCUUAUACUGACCAUUAGUUCUGAUUACUGGGGAGGUUUUGAAGCGCAAAGCGGCCAUGAUGAUUGGAAUCGCUUUCAGGUAGGUUUUUAAAAGUAUUGAUCUAGUUUGUUUCCCUUGUCCUUCAGGUGUUACAGGUAGCUAUGUUUAUAACAGACUUUCUUUUUUUUAAAGAGUUUCUUGGCUUUGUUGCCUGCUAAUUGGAGGGAUAACCUGUUCUACAUCAAGUGAUGGGUAUCCUGCACUAGGUUCUGAUGCAGCAUGGCUCUAUGCAGGCUCACUUGGGUCUAAAGGAUAUGGUAAUUACAACUCUCCAACAGCUGAAAUGCAAGCGCAGCUGACCGAAGAGCAACAGAAGCAUCCGGCUGCCAUCCUGCAAAAACAACUGGCCCCCAUGCCCCAGGCACCUCAGAAAAUGUGGUAUCCAGCUCAAAUGCCCCAGAAGCAACCAGCUACUGAACUUCAGCAUCAGAAGGAACAGGCCUCCAUACCCCAGCUACCUCAGCAAGUGUGGCAUCCAGUUCAAAUACCCCAGCAGCAAAAGCAACCAGCUACUGGUCCUCAGCAGCAGAAGGAACUGACCACCAUGCCCCAGAAGCAACUGGCUCCAAUGCCUAUACCUCAGAACCAACCAACAGCUAUGCCCCAGCAAGCAUGGUAUCCAGCCCCAAUGCCUCCACCGCAGAAGCAACCGGCCACCAUGCCCCAGCAAGUGUGGCAUCCAGCUCAAAUGCCCCAGCAGCAAAAGCAACCAGCUACUGAACCUCAGCAGCAGAAGGAACCGGCCGCCAUAACUCAGCAAGUGUUGCAUCCAGCUCAAAUGCUGCUGAAGCAACUGACUGCCAUGCCCCAGCAAGUGUGGUAUCCAGCUCAAAAGCCCCAGAAUCAACCAGUCCCUAUGCGUCAACCGCAGAAGGAACUGACCGCCAAUCCACCACAACUGUGGCAAUCUGCUCAAAUGCCCCAGCAGCAUAAGCAACCGGCUGCCACGCUUCAGCAAGUGUGGCAAGCGGCCCCCAUGCCCCAGCAGCCUCAUGACGUGUGGUAUCCAGCUAAAAUGGUCCAGAAGCAACAAGCCUCUGCAACUCGGCGGCAGAAGGAACUGACCGCCAUGCCUCAGCAAGAGUGGCAUCCAGCUCAAAUGCCCCAGAAGCAACCAACCGCUGAACCUCAGCAGCAGAAGCAACUGACCGCCUUGGCCCAGGAAGUGUGGACUCCAGCUCAAUGUCCCCAGCAGCAGAAGCAACCGGCUGCUGAAACUCGGCAAAAAAUUGAACCGACCGCCAUGCCCCAGCCACCUCAGCAAGUGAUGCAUCCAGCUCAAUUAACCCAGGAGCGGAAGCAACCAGCCCCAAUGCCUUUACCGCAGAAGGAACUGACCGCCGUACCUCAGCAAGUGUGGUAUUCAGCUCAAAUGCCCCAGAAGCAACCGACUGCUGAACCUCAGCAGCAGAAGCAACCGACUGCUGAACCUCAGCAGCAGAAGCAAGUGUUGCAUCCAGCUCAAAUGCUGCAGAAGCAACUGACUGCCAUGCCCCAGCAAGCAUGGUAUCCAGCUCAAAAGCCCCAGCUGCAGAAGCAACCGGCCGCUGAACCUCAGCAGCAAAUUGAACUGACCGCCAUGCCCCAGCCACCUCAGCUAGUGUGGCAUCCAGCUCAAAUGCCUCAGCAGCAAAAGCAACCAGCUACUGAACCUAAGCAGCAAAUUGAACCGACCGCCGUGCCCCAGCCACCUCAGCAAGUGUGGCAUCCAGCUCAAUUUCCCCAGGAGCGGAAGCAACCAGCCCCAAUGCCUUUACCGCAGAAGGAACUGACCGCCAUACCUCAGCUAGUGUGGUAUUCAGCUCAAAUGCCGCAGAAGCAACCGACUGCUGAACCUCAGCAGCAGAAGCAACCGACUGCUGAACCUCAGCAGCAGAAGCAACCGACUGCUGAACCUCAGCAGCAGAAGCAACCGACUGCUGAACCUCAGCAGCAGAAUGACUUGGCCACCAUAAUGCCGCAAGUGUUGCAUCCAGUGCAUAUGCCCCAGCAGGCACCGGCCACCAUACCCCAGCAAGUUAGGUAUCCAGCUCAAAUGCCCCAGAAGCAUCUGGCCUCCAUGCCGCAGAAGCAACCGACCGCCGUGCCCCAGCAAGGGUGGCAUCCAGCUCAAAUGCUGCAGACACAACUGAACGCCGUGCCCCAGCUAACAUGGUAUCGAGCUCAAAUUCUCCAGCAGCAGAAACAACUGACCGCCAUGCCGCAGACACAUCAGCAAGUGUGGCAUCCAGCUCAAUUUCCCCAGCAGCAGAAGCAAUCGGCCUCCACGCCUCUUCCGCAGGAGCAACCGACCGCCGUACCCAAGCAAGUGUGGUACCCAGCUCAAAUGUCCCAGCAGCAACUGGCCUCCGUGCCUCUACCGCAGAAGCAACUGACCCCCAUGCCUCAGCAAUUAUGGCAUGUAGCUCAAAUGCCCCAGAAGCAACUGGCCUCCAUGCCUCUACCGCAGAAGCAACUGACCCCCAUGCCUCAGCAAUUAUGGCAUGUAGCUCAAAUGCCCCAGAAGCAACUGGCCCCAAUGUCUCAGCAGAAGCACCACGAAAGCACUGAAGAUGGUGUCUCUGGUAGCUCUCAGGCCAGCAUUGUUGAACAGUUGGGUGUCAUCCCAAUCUAUUCCUACAGUUCCAAAUCGCACUACGAGAAGGGCAGAACUGUCUUCUCCCAAACCCGCUACACUCCUAGGGAGGCUAUGCCUGUUGACAGUGGAAAUGCUACUAAGGACAGUUAUGUUGGCAUUGGUGCACCAAGCAUACAUCCACCACUAGUGAAGGAUUCUGCAAGGGAAAUGUAAUGGAGUCAUCCUCUAGAAGCUCUAAUGGUGAGAAUUGUUUGACAUUGGUUACAUAACAUUCUGUAUUGCUGACACUGUUUGCAUUUCUUUCUGCUUUUGUUUCGACCAGGAAGUUGCUGGUGCUCUAGCGUGAUGGAAUCAAUAAACAAUUUUAUUUUCAAAAAUG